UGGAAGCUGUUAAUCUCUCAGAGAAGGUGACA
rnacentral:piRNA from 2 species